rnacentral:rRNA from 1 species
UACAGAGGGUGCGAGCGUUAUUCGGAAUUACUGGGCGUAAAGCGCGCGCAGGCGGCUUUGUAAGUCGGGUGUGAAAUCCCCAGGCUUAACCUGGGAACUGCAUUCGAGACUGCAUUGCUAGAGUAUGGGAGAGGGAAGUGGAAUUUCCGGUGUAGCGGUGAAAUGCGUAGAUAUCGGAAGGAACAUCAGUGGCGAAAGCGACUUCCUGGACCAAUACUGACGCUCAUGUGCGAAAGCGUGGGGAGCAAACAGG